CAGUCGCCACGGUAAUACGUAGGGUGCGAGCGUUAAUCGGAAUUACUGGGCGUAAAGCGUGCGCAGGCGGUUUUGUAAGACAGGCGUGAAAUCCCCGGGCUCAACCUGGGAAUGGCGCUUGUGACUGCAAAGCUAGAGUGCGGCAGAGGGGGAUGGAAUUCCGCGUGUAGCAGUGAAAUGCGUUGAGAUCGGAAAGAACACCAACGGCGAAAGCACUCUGCUGGGCCGACACUGGCACUGAGAGACGAAAGCUAGGGGAGCAAAUGGGAUUAGAUACCCCGGUGUCCCUGUCUCUUAUACA
rnacentral:rRNA from 1 species